rnacentral:rRNA from 1 species
UACGAAGGGUGCGAGCGUUAAUCGGAAUUACUGGGCGUAAAGCGUGCGUAGGUGGCGGAUCGAGUUCACCGUGAAAGUCCUGGGCUUAACCUGGGGAUUGCGGUGAGUACUGGUUUGCUCGAGUCGGGUAGAGGGUCGUGGAAUUCCUGGUGUAGCGGUGAAAUGCGUAGAUAUCAGGAGGAACAUCGGUGGCGAAGGCGGCGACCUGGACUUAGACUGACACUGAGGCACGAAAGCGUGGGGAGCAAACAGG